rnacentral:lncRNA from 1 species
CGGGAGGCCGACGGUAGCGGGCGGCGCGGCUAGGGUCAGCAGGCAGCGCCGUGCUUGGGGAAGGGGAGGCGGAGCAGGAGGAGGCGGCUCUGGCGAGGCAGCGUGGCCGGCGGAGGUAGACGCAUGCGGGCGGCCAGGUGAGGAGCCAGAGGGAGGAGGGCGCGCGUGGGGGUGGUCGCCGGUGUGGGGGGCGGGAGGGCGCGAGGUGGCACUCGGGGAAGGGGAGAGGCGCGGGCAGGCGCGGGCGACGGGGAGAGGCGGCGCCGGCGAGGUCGAGGAGCCCGGCGGAAGAGCUCGCGGGUCUCGCGAGGGAGGCGCUCGGGGCAGCUCACGCAGGCGCUGGCGGCGUGGAACAGCAGCAUGGAGAGCAGGGAGGAGGGAGCCAGGCGGCACGGGGCAGCCAGCGAGGUGGAGGCGUGCGGCGAGGCGGCCAGGGAAGCUGGGCGGCACGCGUGGAGAGCAAGGGCGGCGAGGAGCUGUGCGGACACGGGAAGGGAGAGGCGGCGCCGGCGGCGCGUUUGGCCAGGGGUCGCGGGAGGAAGGCUGCGGGGAGAGGGAGCUUCGAGGGCGCGCCGGCCAUGGGAGGGUGGCGGCGGGAGGGAGGGGAAGAAGAAGGGGAUCGGCCAGGGAGAAGGGUGGUGGCGGCAGGAGGAAAAAAUAGGAAGAAAGAAAAAGAGAGAAAGAAAAGGGAUUAAAUAAGCUAGGGUUAGGGUUUGGCUUAGAUGGGCUGGUUUUAGGCCCAACAAACAAAUCGCACACAAAUUAAAUUAAUUUGAUAUUUAAUUUGAUUUCGAAAUUAAAAUAAGAAGAGAGAAGGUGUAGGUUUAAUUAGACCCGGAAAUAAUUUGUCAAACUCCAAAAUAGGAUUUCUAAGAAAUAAUUUUAGGCUUUUAGAUACACAACAAAAGGACAAGCACAAAUGACAACACAAA